GAGUUUGAUCCUGGCUCAGAGUGAACGCUGGCGGCGUGCCUAAUACAUGCAAGUCGAACGAUGAAGCUUCUAGCUUGCUAGAAGUGGAUUAGUGGCGCACGGGUGAGUAACGCAUAGGUCAUGUGCCUCUUAGUUUGGGAUAGCCAUUGGAAACGAUGAUUAAUACCAGAUACUCCCUACGGGGGAAAGAUUUAUCGCUAAGAGAUCAGCCUAUGUCCUAUCAGCUUGUUGGUAAGGUAAUGGCUUACCAAGGCUAUGACGGGUAUCCGGCCUGAGAGGGUGAACGGACACACUGGAACUGAGACACGGUCCAGACUCCUACGGGAGGCAGCAGUAGGGAAUAUUGCUCAAUGGGGGAAACCCUGAAGCAGCAACGCCGCGUGGAGGAUGAAGGUUUUAGGAUUGUAAACUCCUUUUGUUAGAGAAGAUAAUGACGGUAUCUAACGAAUAAGCACCGGCUAACUCCGUGCCAGCAGCCGCGGUAAUACGGAGGGUGCAAGCGUUACUCGGAAUCACUGGGCGUAAAGAGCGCGUAGGCGGGAUAGUCAGUCAGGUGUGAAAUCCUAUGGCUUAACCAUAGAACUGCAUUUGAAACUACUAUUCUAGAGUGUGGGAGAGGUAGGUGGAAUUCUUGGUGUAGGGGUAAAAUCCGUAGAGAUCAAGAGGAAUACUCAUUGCGAAGGCGACCUGCUGGAACAUUACUGACGCUGAUUGCGCGAAAGCGUGGGGAGCAAACAGGAUUAGAUACCCUGGUAGUCCACGCCCUAAACGAUGGAUGCUAGUUGUUGGAGGGCUUAGUCUCUCCAGUAAUGCAGCUAACGCAUUAAGCAUCCCGCCUGGGGAGUACGGUCGCAAGAUUAAAACUCAAAGGAAUAGACGGGGACCCGCACAAGCGGUGGAGCAUGUGGUUUAAUUCGAAGAUACACGAAGAACCUUACCUAGGCUUGACAUUGAGAGAAUCCGCUAGAAAUAGUGGAGUGUCUGGCUUGCUAGACCUUGAAAACAGGUGCUGCACGGCUGUCGUCAGCUCGUGUCGUGAGAUGUUGGGUUAAGUCCCGCAACGAGCGCAACCCCCUUUCUUAGUUGCUAACAGGUCAUGCUGAGAACUCUAAGGAUACUGCCUCCGUAAGGAGGAGGAAGGUGGGGACGACGUCAAGUCAUCAUGGCCCUUACGCCUAGGGCUACACACGUGCUACAAUGGGGUGCACAAAGAGAAGCAAUACUGCGAAGUGGAGCCAAUCUUCAAAACGCCUCUCAGUUCGGAUUGUAGGCUGCAACUCGCCUGUAUGAAGCUGGAAUCGCUAGUAAUCGCAAAUCAGCCAUGUUGCGGUGAAUACGUUCCCGGGUCUUGUACUCACCGCCCGUCACACCAUGGGAGUUGUGUUUGCCUUAAGUCAGGAUGCUAAAUUGGCUACUGCCCACGGCACACACAGCGACUGGGGUGAAGUCGUAACAAGGUAACCGUAGGUGAACCUGCGGUUGGAUCACC
rnacentral:rRNA from 1 species